CGUGCCAGCAGCCGCGGUAAUACGGAAGGUCCGGGCGUUAUCCGGAUUUAUUGGGUUUAAAGGGAGCGUAGGCUGGAGAUUAAGUGUGUUGUGAAAUGUAGACGCUCAACGUCUGACUUGCAGCGCAUACUGGUUUCCUUGAGUACGCACAACGUUGGCGGAAUUCGUCGUGUAGCGGUGAAAUACUUAGAUAUGACGAAGAACCCCGAUUGCGAAGGCAGCCGGCGGGAGCGCAACUGACGCUGAAGCUCGAAGGUGCGGGUAUCGAACAGGAUUAGAUACCCUGGUAGUCCGCACGGUAAACGAUGGAUGCCCGCUGUCGGCGCCUUGCGCCGGCGGCCAAGCGAAAGCGUUAAGCAUCCCACCUGGGGAGUACGCCGGCAACGGUGAAACUCAAAGGAAUUGACGGGGGCCCGCACAAGCGGAGGAACAUGUGGUUUAAUUCGAUGAUACGCGAGGAACCUUACCCGGGCUUGAACUAACGGUGACGAAUCUAGAGAUAG
rnacentral:rRNA from 1 species